rnacentral:rRNA from 1 species
AGAAGCUUGCUUCUUUGCUGACGAGUGGCGGACGGGUGAGUAAUGUCUGGGAAACUGCCUGAUGGAGGGGGAUAACUACUGGAAACGGUAGCUAAUACCGCAUAACGUCGCAAGACCAAAGAGGGGGACCUUCGGGCCUCUUGCCAUCGGAUGUGCCCAGAUGGGAUUAGCUAGUAGGUGGGGUAACGGCUCACCUAGGCGACGAUCCCUAGCUGGUCUGAGAGGAUGACCAGCCACACUGGAACUGAGACACGGUCCAGACUCCUACGGGAGGCAGCAGUGGGGAAUAUUGCACAAUGGGCGCAAGCCUGGAUGCAGCCAUGCCGCGUGUAUGAAGAAGGCCUUCGGGUUGUAAAGUACUUUCAGCGGGGAGGAAGGGAGUAAAGUUAAUACCUUUGCUCAUUGACGUUACCCGCAGAAGAAGCACCGGCUAACUCCGUGCCAGCAGCCGCGGUAAUACGGAGGGUGCAAGCGUUAAUCGGAAUUACUGGGCGUAAAGCGCACGCAGGCGGUUUGUUAAGUCAGAUGUGAAAUCCCCGGGCUCAACCUGGGAACUGCAUCUGAUACUGGCAAGCUUGAGUCUCGUAGAGGGGGGUAGAAUUCCAGGUGUAGCGGUGAAAUGCGUAGAGAUCUGGAGGAAUACCGGUGGCGAAGGCGGCCCCCUGGACGAAGAC